rnacentral:rRNA from 1 species
AUCGUAACUCCUACGGGAGGCAGCAGUGGGGAAUAUUGGACAAUGGGCGCAAGCCUGAUCCAGCCAUGCCGCGUGAGUGAUGAAGGCCCUAGGGUUGUAAAGCUCUUUUGUGCGGGAAGAUAAUGACGGUACCGCAAGAAUAAGCCCCGGCUAACUUCGUGCCAGCAGCCGCGGUAAUACGAAGGGGGCUAGCGUUGCUCGGAAUCACUGGGCGUAAAGGGUGCGUAGGCGUGUCUUUAAGUCAGGGGUGAAAUCCUGGAGCUCAACUCCAGAACUGCCUUUGAUACUGAGGAUCUUGAGUUCGGGAGAGGUGAGUGGAAUUGCGAGUGUAGAGGUGAAAUUCGUAGAUAUUCGCAAGAACACCAGUGGCGAAGGCAGCUCACUGGCCCGAUACUGACGCUGAUGCACGAAAGCGUGGGGAGCAAACAGGAUUAGAAACCCGGGUAGUCCUAGAGC